rnacentral:rRNA from 1 species
UACGUAGGUGGCAAGCGUUGUCCGGAUUUAUUGGGUUUAAAGGGUGCGUAGGCGGCCCACUAAGUCAGUGCUGAAAUAUCCCGGCUUAACCGGGAGGGUGGCAUUGAUACUGGUGGGCUUGAGUACAGAUGAAGUAGGCGGAAUUGACGGUGUAGCGGUGGAAUGCGCAGAUAUCAGGAGGAACACCGGUGGCGAAGGCGGGUCUCUGGGCAGUAACUGACGCUGAGGAGCGAAAGCGUGGGGAGCGAACAGG